UCCCUGACGGUCAAGUGGUUAAGACUCUGCACUUCCACUGCAGGGGAUAUUGUUCGAUCUCUGAUCAGGGAA
rnacentral:tRNA from 1 species